rnacentral:tRNA from 1 species
GGACCGUUAGUGUAGCCUGGUUAACACAUCUCCCUGUCACGGAGAAAAUCGCGGGUUCAAAUCCCGCACGGUCCG